rnacentral:lncRNA from 1 species
CCCAUUUGAGACAUGUUGAGUAUAAACAUGCUCAGUACAUGCAACUGCAGUUGUUUGGUAGCAGUGUACGUAUUGACGCAUGUUGAACUGAGAUUGUGUUUGGUAGGCUGCAUCAAACGAGACAUGUUAUGCCAAGACUGUGUUUGGUAGCAUGUAUCUGAGCUAGGUUGCAUGAAUAUAUUUUUUGACGCCAAGACAAUAUUGACACAACAUAUCAACAUUUUAGGGAACAAUUCCGACAAAAAUAUUACCAUGACGAGAAAAUCAACAAUUGACAUAACACAUAUAAUAACAUAAUUUUAUUUGAGUCCCAAUCACUAGACCGACUCCUCUCACAAUUAGCUGCCUUUGUUUUCUUGCCAUCUCAUCCAUCUAUUAUAAUACAAACAAAUUCAAUUUUAGUAGCAAAAUAUGCAAAAAAAACAAAACUUAACAAAUUCAAUCUUAUAUCUGCAUCUGAAAAACACGGUCAUCUAUCUAAUCCAGGCCAUAUCUGCAUUUGAACUUUGCUUUUAAUAAAAGAGAAUGACUCAAAUACAACUAUGGCAGCUUCUGUUCAGGAAAGCCAGGGGGAGGGGUGGAGGCGCCAGCGGGCCGGCAAGCCGGCG